rnacentral:rRNA from 1 species
AACGAACGCUGGCGGCAGGCCUAACACAUGCAAGUCGAACGCCGUAGCAAUACGGAGUGGCAGACGGGUGAGUAACGCGUGGGAACAUACCCCUCGGUUCGGAAUAACUCAGGGAAACUUGAGCUAAUACCGGAUACGUCCGAGGUUUUAAUCGGCCUUGGAGAAAGGUUUAUCGCCGGAGGAUUGGCCCGCGUCUGAUUAGCUUGUUGGUGAGGUAAUGGCUCACCAAGGCGACGAUCAGUAGCUGGUCUGAGAGGAUGAUCAGCCACAUUGGGACUGAGACACGGCCCAAACUCCUACGGGAGGCAGCAGUGGGGAAUAUUGGACAAUGGGCGAAAGCCUGAUCCAGCCAUGCCGCGUGAGUGAUGAAGGCCUUAGGGUUGUAAAG